rnacentral:lncRNA from 1 species
UAUUCAAUAUUUACCGCGAGUCUACCGGCGUCGAUGUAAUCAAUUCACACGCCAUCGAUAGAACCAAUAUCCCGUUAGAGGAUACAUAUUUCAUCUCCACUGGUUUACGGACUUCACACAGAAAAGCAUCGAUUCUCUACAUUCUUCGGCUACCUUACACAAAAUCCACGAAGCGAAGAAUGGUAACGAUCGAGCUGUUAAGAAUUUAGAACGCCCACAUGCUUGAACAGGAUUUUCUCUUUCAGACUCUCAUUGGAUUCUACGAAUUGAUAAAAUUCCUACGUCAUAGGAAAAGCAUCGAAUUAGUACAGGUUCCGAGAUACGCUUUCUAUUUCUGCCCGUUAAUUCCUUCUCCGGAGGUAGCGUUACAGAAGACCUAAAUGGGAUGCAACGGCUGACAAUAAUAUUCGUGGAAAAUUUAUCUCGAAGAAACAAGUCUACCCGUUACGUACACGUGGUUUGCGUUGUUUAUUUUGUGUUUUAUCGUCUCUGGUGUACAUUACAUCUUGCGUUCAUUUAAUUGCUUUCGAACAUUCUACGUGGUUAACAAACAAUGUUAUCUAACAUUUGGAACAGAACUGGUUCGAGUUGUUUGGAGAUGACGGAGUUGUUUUCGAAAAUGGAACACAGUUGCAAUUUGGAACUUUACAAACACGUUACAAACAUUGUACAAACACGUCACAAACACAGGAAGAUGUCGAAAACGAAGCGAAUUACGAAACAGCAACAUUUAGUUUUAGAGUGCAAUGUGUUGUCACCGAGGCGUUGAAUGGUUCGUACGCUUUUGGCCACGCGUCUCCGAGACAUGAAUGGAACGUAAAACGUGCUCAAUCGUAUAAUACGUGUUCCGUAUGAAAAUUACAUCACGCAUGUUUCGAAGCCGGUUAAAUUACCUACGACGCAUGUUCCGUCUCAGAUCUGACCGACUUGGGAUAUCCUACUUUCUAAGCUCUUUUUUUAACUAUCUAGAAAUUAAUAUAGUAACGGAUAGGAAGACUGCUAGAUCAUAUGCAGGGUGUGUAUGUAGAUUGGAAUCCUCACUUUCCUGUACACUAAAAUUACAUUCUCAGAGCCAAGAUUUGAAGACAUAGAAGAAACAGCCAAAUAUUUGUAGACCUCAAUUUCUUGAGAUGUUCAAUAAUACCUUCACACAUGUGUUAAAUAUCUACAUGCUCAGUUGCCAUAUGACUUUCAGUUCAUUUGUACUAAAUAAUUUAACUAAUUCUCUUGAAUCAAAAACGGUCUGAAGAUCUCUAAAGGAUCUGGAUAUAUUUGUAUCCUUAGUUACUAAUUGACUUUGAAUUGAUCAACCCUUAGCACUCCUACAGUGAGAUUCAACAUCAAAUUCUUCUUGUAUUUUAUAAAUAAGUAGCUUGGAAUAUAUUUUAUUUACCACUUAAAUACAUAUAUUUUCCAGAUAGCCACCAAAUUUUAUUGAGCCUUUUGCAAGGAGUAGGUAAAAGAAAUUAAAGAGUGCAAAGGGUUAAUCGUCUAACAGCGAUAAUCGCGUUGAGAGCAGCAAGUAUUUUGGGUAAUAAAUAUUUGAAGCGAUAAGUAACAGUUACAUAAGGGAGAACCGUUAGCUAUCUUCGUGAAAAGAAAAGAACGCGACAGGUUUGAGCAUUUUUAGAAUGCGAAUCAUGUUACUCGAGCGGUGAUUCACUCUUUAUCUGGUUAGAAUUUUGUUUCUGCAUGUCUCGCGUAAUAGUCUACGAAACUCGAGAUGAAUGGUAAUUUUGUUAUCGAGUCUUGUUUGUACUCCUAGAUGUACAGUCAAUGAACUCGAUAAACGCGAGAACCUUCUGACAACUACAAUCUUUAGCUUUCUACAGUAGUUUAUACUUUAAAUUUCUUUAUUGUAAAAAAUGUCUAGUUUAAAUUUCUUCAGUAAAAUUCUUCCACUGCAUUUAACUAAUCAAGUGACCGUCCGCUCGAAAUUUCCACGAUCACUUUUUAUCUGCGGUUGUUUUUUUUGCGUCGUUAUCUGCUUCUUUUCGAUUGAUUUUUCGAACGGUAUCCCAAAACGAUUACGUACACGAUUAUUGCACGUCACGUGGCAAAUAAGCACGCUGUUCCGUUCCCAGAAUCUUUACGCCGUGAAGUUUACGGUAUGCGAAAGGUGUACGGUAGAAGAAACAUUCGAAGAAAAUUGAUGAAAAAUCUUUGCACGUCCCACGACUCCAGGAAUUUUCCAUUCAUAUUUUCUCUAGGUAGAGGAAAGAGGUUCAUUUUCUGCAGAGUUAGCGGUAUGCACCUGAUGCAAACGUGUAACCGAAGCUGUUAUUCCAAGAAAGAUCUUGCGUCAAAUUUAUGCACGCAAGGAGAAAUUAUAUUCGUGAGACACUUUGAUUCCGGAAAAUUCCAUAGAAGUAACUGAGAUCAAAGGACACUAGUUUACAGAUCCAAGAGUCCAAAGAUCUGGGGUAAGCAUUGAUACUUAAUCGUACAUCAAUGAAAGUGUAUUAAGUGGAACCGAUAACAGCCGUUUACGACACGUAUCCCGUACUGUUUCACGACUAUCAAUCAUUCAGGAUCAUUGCACGGUCAGCUCUUUCGCAUAUCAAUUAUUCACAACUGGAAUCGAGAAAUAUAUAGCAAAGGAAGCUCGAAUAAAGACUCGAAGGUGCACAAGUGUGUACCCUAUUAUUUCAAUUAUUUUCACGGGAGGAUGAUGCUAGUUGCGAAUCGAGUCGAGGUAGUAAUUCGACGCGCAAACACGCAAGGGACUGUCCCUGGUUUGAGAUAGCGUAGGCUCGCAGGUAUACAUAGAGUGCACGGCGUUAUGAGGCAGUUAUCGAGAGGCGCCGUGAAACGUGCGAGAUGGCACGCAACCCAUCGCUUAGAUUGCAAGCGUAUGCACCGCGUUGCAAUUUUAUCACUUCGAUUUGAAGUCGAUCGCGUUUACGAUUCUUUCGUAUUAACUUUCGAAGCGUCUCUCAAAUUUUAUUUAGCAAUUCUCAAACUUCUUAGUUUCAUUGUUAACCCCUUGCAGUAUUUUGACUCGUGACGCAAUUACGGUUCAAAUGCGACAAAUCUUACUUGAAUACUUUUCUAUUUGAAGUUCGAGUUCAAUUAUAAUUUGUGUAGUUAGCGAUUGAAUACAAAGUAGUCGCAACAUUUUGACUUUCUUUAAUGAUUUUAAUAUUAUUGAAAUAGUUCUGACGCAACUGAUACAAGGGGUUAACUGAAAUUUUUAACCCUUUG